GCUGGGCAUUGUGGCGGGCCCCUGUGGUCCCAGCUACCUGGGAGGCUGAGGCAGGAGACUCGCUUGAGCCCAGGAGUUGGAGGUUGCUGUGAGCUGUGAUGCCACAGCACUCUACCCAGGGGAAUAGCUUGAGGCUCUGUCUCAGAAAAAAAAAAAAAGUAUAGCAUAAAUAUAUAUAUAUUUUUUUGAGACAGAGUCUCAAGCUGUCCCCCUGGGUAGAGUGCUGUGGCAUCACAGCUCACAGCAACCUCCAACUCCUGGGCUCAAGCGAGUCUCCUGCCUCCG
rnacentral:SRP_RNA from 1 species